rnacentral:rRNA from 1 species
AACGAACGCUGGCGGCAUGCCUAACACAUGCAAGUCGAACGAGACCUUCGGGUCUAGUGGCGCACGGGUGCGUAACGCGUGGGAACCUGCCCUUAGGUUCGGAAUAACUCAGAGAAAUUUGAGCUAAUACCGGAUAAUGUCUUCGGACCAAAGAUUUAUCGCCUUUGGAUGGGCCCGCGUAGGAUUAGCUUGUUGGUGGGGUAAUGGCCUACCAAGGCGACGAUCCUUAGCUGGUCUGAGAGGAUGAUCAGCCACACUGGGACUGAGACACGGCCCAGACUCCUACGGGAGGCAGCAGUGGGGAAUAUUGGACAAUGGGCGAAAGCCUGAUCCAGCAAUGCCGCGUGAGUGAUGACGGCCUUAGGGUUGUAAAGCUCUUUUACCAGGGAUGAUAAUGACAGUACCUGGAGAAUAAGCUCCGGCUAACUCCGUG